GCCAGUGUGGUGUAGUGGUUUGAACACUGGACUAUGACUGAAGAUCAGGGUUCAAAUCCCUGCUUGGCCA